AUUGAACGCUGGCGGCGUGCUUAACACAUGCAAGUCGAGCGGCAGCAGGCCCGCAAGGGUGCUGGCGAGCGGCGGACGGGUGAGCAAUACAUAGGAAUUUUCCCAGAGGCGGGGGAUAGCCCGGCGAAAGCCGGAUUAAUACCGCAUGAUGUCGAAAGACCAAAGUAGGGGACCGUAAGGCCUUACACCUUUGGAUGAGCCUAUGUCCGAUUAGCUAGUUGGCGGGGAACGGCCCACCAAGGCAACGAUCGGUAGCUGGUCUGAGAGGACGAUCAGCCACACCGGAACUGAGACACGGUCCGGACUCCUACGGGAGGCAGCAGUGGGGAAUAUUGGACAAUGGGCGAAAGCCUGAUCCAGCGACGCCGCGUGGGUGAAGAAGGCCU
rnacentral:rRNA from 1 species